CUGUCCGAGGGGCGCUGCAGCAGGGAUUCCUGUCAGGCUCGGAUGGGGCGUUGCCCGCACGGUUGGUCCGUACGGGCUCUAAACGCACAACGGCGCCCAUUCGCA
rnacentral:ncRNA from 2 species